rnacentral:rRNA from 1 species
AGAGUUUGAUCCUGGCUCAGGACGAACGCUGGCGGCGUGCCUAAUACAUGCAAGUAGAACGCUGAAGGAGGAGCUUGCUCUUCUGGAUGAGUUGCGAACGGGUGAGUAACGCGUAGGUAACCUGCCUGGUAGCGGGGGAUAACUAUUGGAAACGAUAGCUAAUACCGCAUAAUAGCAGUUGUU